rnacentral:tRNA from 1 species
GGUAAGAUGGCUGAGUAUGAUAGGUGAUAAAUUGUAAAUUUAUUUAUGAGGUGAUUCUCUUUUACCA